rnacentral:rRNA from 1 species
CCUACGGGAGGCUGCAGUGGGGAAUAUUGGACAAUGGGCGAAAGCCUGAUCCAGCCAUGCCGCGUGUGUGAAGAAGGCCUUCGGGUUGUAAAGCACUUUCAGUGGGGAAGAAAGCCUUGGGGCUAAUACCCUCGAGGAAGGACAUCACCCACAGAAGAAGCACCGGCUAACUCCGUGCCAGCAGCCGCGGUAAUACGGAGGGUGCGAGCGUUAAUCGGAAUUACUGGGCGUAAAGCGCGCGUAGGCGGUCUGAUAAGCCGGUUGUGAAAGCCCCGGGCUCAACCUGGGAACGGCAUCCGGAACUGGCAGGCGAGCGGGCAGGAGAGGAAGGUAGACUUCCCGGUGUAGAGGUGAAAUGCGUAGAGAUCGGGAGGAAUACCAGUGGCGAAGGCGGCCUUCUGGACUGACACUGACGCUGAGGUGCGAAAGCGUGGGUAGCAAACAGGAUUAGAUACCCUGGUAGUC